GGAUUAGUCGUCUAACAGGUAAGACCUAGCUCUUUCAAUGCUAUAUCGUAGGUUCGAGUCCUGCCUAGUCUA
rnacentral:tRNA from 5 species